rnacentral:rRNA from 1 species
UUCCAGAGUAUCAAUUGGAGGGCAAGUCUGGUGCCAGCAGCCGCGGUAAUUCCAGCUCCAAUAGCGUAUAUUAAAAUUGUUGCAGUUAAAAAGCUCGUAGUUGAAUUUCUGCUGCAUUGCUUUUGCUCCUUUACGAGUCUUUGCAUUGUGGCUUAUUUCGGACUUUGUUUUACAAUGUCCGGAUGUUUACUUUGAGAAAAUUAGAGUGCUCAAAGCAGGCUUUCGCCUUGAAUAGUUUAGCAUGGAAUAAUAAAGUAGGACUUUGGUUCUAUUUUGUUGGUUUUAGGUACCAAAGUAAUGGUUAAUAGGAACAGUUGGGGGCAUUCGUAUUUAACUGUCAGAGGUGAAAUUCUUAGAUUUGUUAAAGACGAACUACUGCGAAAGCAUUUGCCAAGGAUGUUUUCAUUAAUCAAGAACGAAAGU